GAUGAAGAACGUAGCGAAAUGCGAUAAGUAAUGUGAAUUGCAGAAUUCAGUGAAUCAUCGAAUCUUUGAACGCACCUUGCGCCCUUUGGCUAUCCCAGAGGGCAUGCCUGUUUGAGUAUCAUGAACACCUCAACUCUCAUGGUUCUGCCAUGAUGAGCUUGGACUUUGGAGGUCUUGCUGGCCCCUGUGGUCAGCUCCUCUCAAAUGGAUCAGCUUGCCAGUGUUUGGUGGCAUCACAGGUGUGAUAACUAUCUACGCUUGUGGUUUUCCACCAGGUAACCUUCAGUGAUGGAGGUUCGCUGGAGCUCAUAAACGUCUCUCCUCAGCGAGGACAGCUUCUUGAACGUUUGAUCUCAAAUCAGGUAGGGCUACCCGCUGAACUUAAGCAUAUCAAUAAGCGGAGGA
rnacentral:misc_RNA from 1 species